AGAGACCUUUCUCCCAUCCCCCCACCUCCAAGCCCUUGUUGGGCACACUGCACACUGGCUUUUUUUUUUUUUUUUGGAGACGGAGUCUUGUUCUGUCACCCAGGCUGGAGUGCAGUGGCGCUAUCUCAGCUCACUGCAACCUCUGCCUCCCAGGUUCAAGAGAUUCUCCUGCCUCAGCCUCCAGAGUAGCUGGGAUUACAGGUGCCUGCCACCACGCCCGGCUAAUUUUUGUAAUUUUAGUAGAGACAGGAUUUUGCCAUGUUGGCCAGGCUGGUCUCGAACUCCUGACCUCAAGUGAUCUGCCCACCUUGGCUUCCCAAAGUGCUGGGAUUACAGGUGUGAGCCACUGUGCGCGGACUGCACUGGCCCUUCUAGUGAAUGUUUGGGUUCAGGGUGCACGAAGCAGCAGAAUGCUGGCGGACACCACCUCAGCUUGCAGGCUGCUCCGGGUUUGAUAGUCAGUGAGGCUUUGUCCAUAGGAAGGACAGCAAAAGAAGGAGCUUUUGGUUUUUGACUCUGGAAUUGGACAGGCUGGUCAGGAUACAAAUUCUGGCUUCCCCCACUUACUAGCUGGGUGACCUUAGGCAAGUCCCUUCAUGUCUUUGGACCCUAACUGCCUUCCUUAGUUAUCCUGAAGAUCAAAUGGGGGAUGGGAAUGAAUGUUUUCUAAGGCUGUGUGCAGAUGUUUAGUGUUAAAUGCUAAGUGCAGAGGGACACAGUUAUGGGGCCAUUGAGGUAGGUGGGGGCAAUCAAGGAAGGCCUCCUGGGUUGUGAGGGCCGUGGAUCACUGGGUGCAGUCCAUAACGGAGGCCUGACUGAGAAAUGGGGCUGGGCUCCAUGGCUGGGGCUUUUGUGGUCUGAAGGAGGUGAGCAUCUUGCUGAGGCUGUUUCAAGAGGGACCCGUUGUUAACAAUUAGGAGGUGAACUCCACGACGGCAGCUUCUUUUAUCCACUGGCCAGGUGUGAAUGCCGCCCAGCAUACCAGGAGGAGGGGAUAGGUAGGGUGCAGCUCUGCCACAUUGCCCCUAACCUGCCCUGCUCCCUCCCUGCAGCCUUCAUCUCCUCGUCCUCCAGGCAGCACAAGCCAUUGUGGAAUCUCCACCGGGUGUACAGAAUGGUGCCUCUGCGUCCUGCCACUCAGGACCUCUCGAGUCCCCAAUGUGAUGACUCCUCAGCGUCAUCAGGAGUGAGCGUAAUUCAGAUCUAUUUAGAUCCGUCAGCCCACGGGCCAGGGGGACCUUGAGCAGGACAGUCUUUUGUCUCCAAGCAGUCAUUCCUUGUUAUACAAGCAAGAGUCAGGAGGAGGAAUGGUUUUGGCAUCAUCCCCCACAGACAGCAAUGGGGCCUUUAGGCCUGGAAGGAAGGACCAGGCUGAGGCUGGCAUAUGGAGGUUGAGCCCUGGGCACGGGGCAUCAGCUUCACCCGGCUGGGGAUGCCUUCUGCUGGGUUUGUCCAUCUGGCACCAGCUGGCUUCCCAGCACCGCCCCCACAACCAACCAGACUCCUUCUUCUGCUGUUGCCAUGACAAUUGGCUGCCAUAUUGUACCUCAGAGCACUAGCUCCUAUCUGGAUUUUCCCGUGGGGUUCCUAGAGGGUGGGAGAUGGGUCUCCAGGGAUUUAUUCCUUUCUCCUGAUAUCUAUCCAAUAAAAAUUCAUAAUAACAUAUGAUUUUUUUUAAUAGCCUAAGUGGAGGAUUACUAUAUGUCAGGCUCUGUGCCAGACACUCUCUACAUGUUAUUUAAUAUGGCUAAGAAAGAAUUAAUGAGAUAGAAUUCAAGAGGUUCCCAUCCAGUUUCCUGCUACUACGACAGACUUUUCCUCUCCCCAACCAGGAAAUUCCAUGAUCUUGCUUAUUCCUGUCUUGGGAAGUCCUUCUCCAUGUCUAACCAAGAUCUAUAUGGCUAUAGCACCAGCUCUUUGGCUCUCGGCUUGGCAUGGCUGAGUUGGGAGGUAAGGAAGGAAUGCCACCUAGCUUUAGUGACUUCAUAAAGGUUCCUGGACUCCAGCUAUUAGAAUAGGAAAACUGAGACUUGCCUAGCUUGGUGAGAGGUCUGAGUGCCCCUUAAAGACUUGGGAGCCCCCACCCAAACCUUUUGUUUACAGAAGAGGAGUAAAUGCCACAGAAUGCUUUGAAAUUUCCCCCUCUGUGCCCCAUCAGCACCCCAGAAAGAGGAGCCGGAGACCAUGGAAUAGCGGUAGUCUCCCAGGCCCUCUGGGCUCCCCCUUUGGAAGCCAGUCUCCCAGCUCCUGCCUUGGGGGGAACGUUCCAACAGGGUCUCAGAGACAUCCUGGGAUAAUGAGGGUCCCCUCCUUCUGGAGCCCAACUGGAAGGCAGAGAAUGGUCACUUUGACCUCGAGGGGCAUCUAUAAGGGGCACUAAGCAGAUGCCAGAUUUGCUGAGGAAAUCCUGAAUGAGGAGCAUGUGGGGAGAAAAAGGAGGCCAUUCUCAACUGAGGAAGGGUGGGCUGGGAGGGAGGGGCCAGGGAUAAUUUAUGAUAUCGUUGUUCCCCCGCCCCACUUACUUCCCAGCCCUCUGCUACUGUACCGUUGCUAGGAGAGCCUGGCUCUGUCUGGGGCUGGGAGGGUGUAACAAGCCGGAGGCUGUUCCAUCUGCACUCCUCCUCCCCCACCCAGGGGAGGGCACCGCAUGGAGCUGCAUCCACCACCCCUUCCCAGGCCCUGACAGACACCAGUCUCUUCUGUCAUUCCCCCAAAUCUAGCCACUCAAGGGAUAAUAGGAGUCCCAGGUGGGCUGAGGAUCUAGAACAAGGAAUGGGCAAGAGAGCAUGGAAGGAGACACACUGGCAGACUUAGAGGGGCACUGAGGAACAGCCAGCCCACCUUGAGACCUGGGAGCCAGCCCGGGUCAGGAAGAGGGCCAGAGGGGGUCAGGGAAACAGGCCUGGCAGAGCUCAGGUUUGGAGAAAACAGUCUUUACAUUUGAGGGGCUCCUGAUAUGAUGGGCAAGGCAGACCUCUCAUCCCCACUCCUCCAUACUGUCAAGAUCCAGGUUGGAGAGCUGGCAAAGGUAGGGGGAGGAGGAGCUGGGGAAGGGAGGAGGGAGGUGAGCUGGGAGAGGCUGCGGAGAGUCUAGGAAGAAGAAAGGCCACACUGGUCUGAGUGGAGCUGGGCCAUGCAGGGCCGUGGCCGAGAUCCCCUCCUCUUUCUGAAACUCUCUUCUCAGAUCUUAAGGCUCUUGGAGAAGUCAAGGGAGGUGAACUUUGGGGGUUUCCAAAGCUGCUGGCUCCCAACCCUGGAUGGGACAGGAAAGGAAGGCUGUGCCCACAGCUGUGCCUGACACCUGAUUCCUGUGCAGCCCCUGCUGGGUUUAUUUGCCUUUCCUGGACAUACCUUCCCCACCCCAGGAAGGAAGGAGCUGACCCUGAUUUGUGCCCAUUUGGUUGUGUAAGCCCUUUCAUAGCCAUUAUCUCAGCUAAUCUUCCCAACAGCCCUGAAAACCGGGUGACAUUGUCCCCACUUUAUGAAGGAGGAAUCAAAGCUUCAGGAAGGCUAAGAUACUUUCCCAGAGUCACAGGACUGGUAAAUUGGGCUGGGCUUCAAGUGGGGCUUCAUAGACCCCAAAGCAUAUGUCCCCUUCCUCCCCUGUGCUGACUUUGGAAACACAAAUGGAGGGACUGAGAGAAGAGAGGAUCAGAUAGGCAGGUGGAAUUCUUGGCGUGUUCUCCAGUGUAGGGGUAAAGUCUGAGGGAUGAUAAACAUCUUGCAGGUUGAAGACAGGAUUAGAGAAGAGGCCAUGGGAGCUGUGAAAGUGACCAAAAGUCUUCCAGGCUGGUACUUAGCCCAAAUGCAUCCUGCACCCUGCCUUCCUGAAGCAAGUCCCCUGGGCUCUCUGCCUAAUCUCUCCCGUUCUUGGGAUCUGAGUUUACGCCUUAGGCAUUUCCCUCACCCCCCAUUGCCUUGGAUGGAGCACCUGGAAGAGGUGGAAGAGGUGCCUAGACUCAAGCCACUGUCAUGGUGGAUCCCUUUGUGAUGACCCCUUCCCUAGCUCCUCACCUUGCCUGAUGGAAGUGAGCUGCUUCCAAGAUGGCUGGAAGUUUGUCCUCUGCCUCCUCCUAAAGUCUCCAUCUGAAGUGUAUUUUUUGGCCGGGCGUGGUGGCUCACGCCUGUAAUUCCAACACUCUGGGAGGCCGAGGCAGGUGGAUCACUUGAGGUCAGGAGUUCAAGACCAGCCUGGCCACAUGGCUAAACCCUGUGUCUUCUAAAAAUACAAAAUUUAGCCGGGUGUGAUGGCGUGCACCUGUAAUCCCAGCUACUCAGAGGCUGAGGUACAAGAAUUGCUUGAACCUAGGAGGCAGAGGUUGCAGUGAGCCGAGAUCAUGCCACUGCACUCCAGCCUGGGUGACAGAGUGAGAUUCCAUCUAAAAAAAAAAAAAAAAGUGUUUUUCUUUACGCUUGACAAUUUUUCUUUUCAGACCAAAAAGAAGAAUGUACUUCAUCCGGUUGGGCUGGAUUCCCUCUGAUAAGCCUUCCCAGUUGACUGAAAGAUGAGGCUAGGCUCUAGCAAGUUAAAGUCGAACCAGCUCCUUCAAGAAGCUUUGAGCAGAAUGAAGUGGGGAGGACCCAGCUUCUGGCCCAGGAAGUCCACUGUACCUGGAGCCAUCUGGGAUAAGACUUUGACCCAUGACUCCCAUAUCCACAACCUGUCCAUCCUGGCCCAUCCCAGUUUAUCCUGUAUCAUUUGAGCUGGGGUUCCCACAUCCUCUGAGAUGGAAGUCCCAUCUCAAGUCUUCAAUAAAGACUCUUGAAUAUUGAAUCAC
rnacentral:sRNA from 1 species